rnacentral:sRNA from 1 species
UAAUUCAUAUGUUAGUUGAGGAACAACUUCAGGCUGGUCAUAUAGAAUCAACACUUAGUCCUUGGAACACCCCCAUUUUUAUUAUUAAGAAAAAGUCAGGCAAUUGGAGGUUACUACAGGAUUUAAGGGAAAUAAACCAUGCAAUUCAGCCUAUGGGAUCAUUGCAGCCCAGAUUUCCUUCCCCCACAGCAAUUCCUUUAACUAUAGCUUAAUGGUAAUAGAUCUAAAAGAUUGUUUUUUCUCAAUAAGGUUACAUCCUGAGAAUUAUGAAAAAUUUGCUUCCAG